GGCGCGAAAACUUUACAAUGCUGGCAAUAGCGAUAAGGGAACCUCGAGUGCCAGGUUACAAAUCUGGCUGUCGAGAUGCCUAAAAAGCAUUUCAUAGCAAGGGCCGGGCAAGACCGGUGCCAGCCGCCGCGGUAACACCGGCGGCUCGAGUGGUAACCGUUAUUAUUGGGUCUAAAGGGUCUGUAGCCGGCCGGAUAAGUCUCUUGAGAAAUCUGGCAGCUUAACUGUCAGGCUUUCAGGAGAUACUGUCUGGCUCGAGGCCGGGAGAGGUGAGAGGUACUUCAGGGGUAGGGGUGAAAUCUUGUAAUCCUUGAAGGACCACCAGUGGCGAAGGCGUCUCACCAGAACGGACCUGACGGCAAGGGACGAAAGCUAGGGGCACGAACCGGAUUAGAAACCCGAGUAGUCC
rnacentral:rRNA from 1 species